ensembl:lincRNA
CCUUGGUGCCUUUGCAUAUGCUGUUCCCUGCCAGGAGUGCCUUUCUCUCCCAGGCCAGGUUCUUACUCAAACUUGAGCUCAGAUGUUGCUGCCUCAGGACAACCUUCCCUGCCCCCUUGCCCCUCGCUCUGUUCUUUGGCCAUCCCAGCACAGAUCACACAGUGUCACUAUCAUCCCUCCGUGGGCUGAAGGCCAUAAAACCCUGCUAGACUGCAAGUCCCACAUGGGAAGACUUAUUUGUUUUAUUCCAUCUUUGUAUCCUCGGGGCCUAGAACAAAGCUUGGCAGACUGUCAGUGCUUACCAAAUAAUUUCUGAUGGAUCAGUUGAGGGUGCAGGCUGUCUGGGACCCGCUAGGAUGAGGGAGAAUAACUAACGAUCACACAUACUUAUUGAGUGUUUGCUAUGUGCCAGGGAUUUUAGUCGCAACAGCUGAAAUAUCUGAGAGUUUACACCCUGCAAGUCGAAUUAUAUUUAUUCUAUAAAACCACCAGGAGAGGUAAGUACUUCUAUUAUUCCUGUUCACACAGUUGAGGGAAUUAAGGCACAGGGGAAGUCCAGCACUCGUGACAGAACUGAUUUGUAGACAGAGGCUUUCUGCUUCACAGCCCAGACUCCUACCCUGGCUCUGGGCCUACCCUUCUCCAGCCAGUGCACCAACUGCUAGGCCCAGAAAGGGUCCUAAGGAAUCAUUCACCUGCUGUUGCCUCUUCACAGAGUGCGGAAACUGAGGCCAGGGCUGGGGAGAGACUUGUUAGGCCUCUCUGCCUCCACCGAUGAUGGGUUGUAUCUUUGACUGGUUUCCCCUCUGUUUGCCUCCUCCUCAAAAACAGGGGAGAGGGCUUCUUUCUGGUCAGACCCUGCUCAUCCUCAGCCCUGUUUCCCGGCAACCUGUUUCCUGGGCAGCACCCCCUGGUACAGCUGUGUUGCCAUGGCGACUGCAGCAGGUACAGGUGCAUCUCCAAGAUGAAGGCAGAAAGGGCACAUCUCAGAGACCCAAGUAACAGAUGGAAGAAGGGAGACUUAGAGAACGCAAAGACCUUUCCACAAGGCACAUCCAGGCCAGGCCCAGAAGGGAAGCGGUGUGGGGUCAUCAGAUCACUUCUUUCCCACAGGAUGCCCUGCCUGAGCUUUCCAUGUUUGGUGCUGGGGCAGGGCAAGGGGAGAGAAAGAGUUAGGAGAGAAGUUUCUGUUUUCUCCAGGAAGGAGGUCCACCCUAAGGCCGGAGCCAGCUUCCUCUCUCUGUUCUUGGCAUCAUUGCUGCAUCAGGGGUGAGCGCCCAGAUCACCCAAGACCAACGUUGCAUAGUUUCUGCAAGUAUUAAAAUAUGACCAUGUGCAGCAGAGUGAGGAGGGUGCAAACAAGGGAGUCAAGAAGUCUGGGAUCUCACCCUGCUCACGCUGGGGACCUGGGGAAGGCCACUUC